rnacentral:rRNA from 1 species
AGUAACGGCGAGCGAAGUGGGAAGAGCUCGAGCCUGAAAUCCCUGGCAGGUACUGUCAGGGAGUUGUGGCCGGGAGAGGCAACUAGGCCCUGAUCGAUGCUGUCAAAGUUGACCUGGAAAGGCGCGUCAGAGAGGGUGAGAGCCCCGUACGUGACACCGUUGGUCUGGGCUUGUAUUGCCUUCGGAGAGUCGGGUUGUUUGGGAAUGCAGCCCAAAGUGGGUGGUAAACUCCAUCUAAAGCUAAAUAUUGGCACGAGACCGAUAGCAAACAAGUACCGUGAGGGAAAGGUGAAAAGUACUUUGAAAAGAGAGUCAAAAAGACCGCGAAACCGUUAGGAGGGAAACGAAUGCAGCUGAAUUGGCUCUGCUCAAGUUCAGGAGCGAUGUUGAUUGGCGAUGCCAGUCUGCAAAAGCCGAUAGGUUUUGCUCUCGGGAUAGCUGUCAACUCCUCUGCACUCUUGUGCAAAGCUGGCCAACAACAGUUGCCCGUGGCUGAGAAGGGCGGUUGGGAAGGUAGUCACUUCUCGGAGUGAAACUUAUAGCCAUCCGUCUGGUAGUCUGGGGGCGACUGAGGAUAACAGGCAGUGCAGGCCAUUGGCUUGGGCCGCUUCUGGCCGUUUGGGCACCGCGACAGGGACUGCGUGCAGUGUCUGCUGACGGAUGUCUGCUCGGACGGGAGACUGGUCACAUCUUGCGCUGUAGUUGUUGGUGAUCAAAUGGCUGCAUCCGACCCGUCUUGAAACACGGACCAAGGAGUGCAACAUGCGUGCGAGUCUUUGGGUGGCAAACCCAGCGGCACAAUGAAAGUGAAGGCAGGCGUUGGUCUGCUCAGGCGAGAGUCCUCUUGUGGGGACACAUCGUCAACCGAUCCCAGGUCACGCUGUGGCGGGAUUUGAGUGAGAGCGUGCCUGUUGCGACCCGAAAGAUGGUGAACUAUGCCUGAAUAGGGUGAAGCCAGAGGAAACUCUGGUGGAAGCUCGUAGCGAUUCUGACGUGCAAAUCGAUCGUCAAAUUUGGGUAUAGGGGCGA